GUCUCUGAUUGUUUAUUGAAAAUGACAGUUGUCAAUCAUACUAGUAUUGAAUCAAAACCCACUUACCUAAUCCAAAUGUUUUUAAAAAAGCCUGCACAUUGCAUAUCAACACACCUUAUGACAUACAUUCUUGAAUGACCUGCUCCAAUAAUAUACUCAUUUUUUCAGUUUAUAUGUGUAUUAUGUGCACAUACAUCAUAACCAUAUAUAGG
rnacentral:lncRNA from 1 species